GUCACAUGUGAAAAAAGAGUGUUGGUGAUAUUGUGAGUUGUUGUGGACUUGAUUUGUUUUUUUGUCGCCUUGAUAGCAUACUUGAUAAAAAAAAAUAUUGAUAAUAUUACACGGUGGUUGAAUGGAAUAACUUAAGAUAAGCGUAAACUCAAAACAGUCGACAGGAGAUCUCUUGUUUGUCGAUCGAUGAGUCACGACGUGUGAUACUCGGUGUACUCGAACGCUGAUCAAUAUCCCGCUUGACAAUGCCUGUUCGUAAUUGGUGGGUAGCUGCCGGGAUGGUGACUUUAAUUAGUGCCGCACUGUUACCUGUAGUAGUGCAGCCUUGGUUGAAUCCAAAGACUUGGCAAGAUGUACAAAAAGAAUCCAGAAAGGGAAUAAAACAAGAAGAGAUUCAACCUGGAGGUAUGCGAGUGUGGUCAGAUCCAUUUGAACCACGGAAGUAACAGGUCAAAGUUCAUCUAUGAUUGUGAUGCUGACACAUGUAUCAAGAAUUUCUAAACUCUUGUUGCAUAGAACUUGGUUGUACAUUUGUCAUGUAAACAAUGCAUGCAUGCUGGGUUCUUAUUAAAACUUAAGAUCUAAACUUUCUAUUUUUUAUUUUAUUUAAAGGGCGGUUGUCGUCGCGCUGCACAUGUGCGACAUUUGUGUUGAUAAACAUUGAUUUUCCCACAAUCCAAUGCGCUCUUCUAAUUGAAAUCACAAGUAUGAUGUUUGACCUGGGUGUGACUUGGUACUAAUUAUCGCCGUUGACUCUUUCGAUACCUUCCAAUCACCUGAAAAUACCUAAUUGAAGCUUGGUAACGUUUCUGUUUGUACUCGUUGAUCUAUGCAACAGUCAAAGUCGCCAUCUUUGUUUAUACAUGUAUAAGACCCAUAUAUCUCGUGCAUGCGUGGCGCGACAACUACCGCCCUUUAAAUUUACUAAGAACAAUUCCAACUUGGCUAAAUCACGAAAUGUUUACAUUCUACAUAAUUCAAAUUUACUGGUUUUUAUGUAAAAGUGUGUUGUUUACAAUCUCCAUAUGAAUACAAAUGAGUCCAGUAUGGUAUUACACACUGUUAGUUAUGUCACCCAUAGUUUCAUCUAACACCACCUUGAAAGAAUUCCCGCUGUAAACCAGUAUUCACUGUUGACAAAAUCAAACA